rnacentral:rRNA from 1 species
UACGGGGGGAGCAAGCGUUGUUCGGAUUUACUGGGCGUAAAGGGCGCGUAGGCGGUCAGCACAAGUCAGUUGUGAAAUCUCCGGGCUUAACUCGGAAAGGUCAACUGAUACUGUGCGACUAGAGUGCAGAAGGGGCAACUGGAAUUCUCGGUGUAGCGGUGAAAUGCGUAGAUAUCGAGAGGAACACCGGUGGCGAAGGCGCUGCUCUGGGCCGAUACUGACGCUGAGGAGCGAAAGCGUGGGUAGCAAACAGG